UCAAAAAAUCCCCUUUUUAAAAAAAAAAAAAAAAAAAAAAACACCAGAGGAUCUUUCCCUCAUCUCCUUCAAAGAAUUAAGAUCCUCCAGAAGCCUGGAAAACAAGAGUAUCUAAGGGAGAGAUUUUCCUCUUUUUGAAAUAUUUUAAUAGAGUUCAUUGCUUUCUGUACAUGGCCAGCAGCAUCGUCCCGCACCCCCCAAAAAAGAAGGUUGAGUGAGGACCUCAGUGUGGCAAGAAGAGGUAGUAAAAAGAGACUUCCCCGCCAGCCUUUGGGAAAAGUCAGUGUUAAGGUGCAAUAAGGAAGAGAAGAGAUUUACAAUCCUCAGCACCACUAUCCCCGUCCCACCCUCCAAAAGCAACAGAUAAAUCUUGGAAAAUCGACAGGCACUCCCAGGCUGACACAGAGGAGUGAGAUAGAUGGUGAGAGGCCCUUUUGGGCCUCUGGCCUCCAUAGCUGUGUGGUCUCAGUUCCCCUUCUGCCCAGUGUUUGCAGCAUUGCCCCUGCCCCUAUGUCCAUCCACCUGCCUUGCUCACCUGGAGGCAUCUGCACUCCUCUAUGACCCGCCCCCUCAAGGGUCAGGGUCUAAAAUGCACAGCACCACUCAAGCCUCAAGCCUGUAUCUGUAUCUAUACUCAGGAACAUGAACAAGAACCACGGUGGCCACCCAUUCAUUUCACUUAGAGCAUUCUCAAAGUUGGGGGUGGGGGGGUGGAUUUUCUCCCCUAGAACAAAGAGAUGCCCCCUCCCAUUUUUAUCAUUAUGCUAGUUAAAAAAAAAAUCACCGUCAGGAAAGAAUUCCCUGGACAUGGAGGGGGUGGAAAUAAUGACCACUGAGAUGAUACUCCUUUCCUGGCCCCGGAGGGAAUUUUUGGUUUUUGUUUGUUUGUUUGUUAUUUAUUUUAAAGGGAUCCAGAUAGCUUGAACUUCAGGGAGUGCUGUAAUUUACUGCAGGGAGGAGGCACAAGACUGAGGGUUCCAAACAAUUGGUGGUAAACCAGAUCUCAAAGCAGAAAAUGAAAAGUCGAUCUGGGGGAAGAUUUUUAAAUAAGUGGGUCAGAGGGACGGAGAGGAGAUGAGGCGAUCAAUCUUAGCCCCCUGACAGCUCCCUCGGAUGGCAUCAAAGAAUUUGGCUCUUUGGGAAAGCAGAGGGAACAGCCGAAAUUCCCCAUCCCUUUAAAAGGCCUGGGGGCGGGUGGUGUUAGCACAAGAGAAAGGUGAUUCUGGGAGCUGGGGAAACAGAUGGGGAAUGGGGACAGAGGGUAGGGCGCUGAGUUGGGUGGAAAGUUUGUCUGGAGAACUCCCACGGCUCUGGCCUCCCCUCCCCCUCCUGGCUCCCAGCUGCCCAGCCAGGAGGAGAAGGCUGGCUAGCAGAGACAUGGCCACUCAGCCGGGAGCUGGAACUAGAAACUUUCUGUCACCAUUUUUAUCAUUAUGCUAGUUAGUGAGUAUUCAUCCGCGUGGGUGGUGACCCAAUGGUGGUUGGGCUUCGGGUCACGUGACGACUUCUUUGUCGCUCCGGAAGAGAACUGUGAAGUUUAGGUUGCGUGGAAGGAACAGAGAAUUGCAAAGGGGG